GGGUGAUUGGCGCAGUUGGUUAGCGCGUCUCGUUUACACCGAGAAGGUCGGGGGUUCGAGACCCUCAUCACCCA
rnacentral:tRNA from 1 species